AUUGAACGCUGGCGGCAGGCUUAACACAUGCAAGUCGAGCGAGUGGCGGACGGGUGAGUAAUGUCUGGGAAACUGCCUGAUGGAGGGGGAUAACUACUGGAAACGGUAGCUAAUCCCGCAUACCAUCAGAUGUGCCCAGCUGGGAUUAGCUUGUAGGUGGGGUAAUGGCUCACCCAGGCGACGCUCCCUAGCUGGUCUGAGAGGAUGACCAGCCACACUGGAACUGAGACACGGUCCAGACUCCGACGGGAGGCAGCAGUGGGGAAUAUUGCACAAUGGGCGCAAGCCUGAUGCAGCCAUGCCGCGUGUGUGAAGAAGGCCUUCGGGUUGUAAAGCACUUCCAGCGAGGAGGCGUUACCCGCAGAAGAAGCACCGGCUAACUCCGUGCCAGCAGCCGCGGUAAUUC
rnacentral:rRNA from 1 species